GGGUUGUGAGGUUAAGCGACUAAGCGUACACGGUGGAUGCCCUGGCAGUCAGAGGCGAUGAAGGGCGUGCUAAUCUGCGAUAAGCGCCGGUAAGGUGAUAUGAACCGUUAUAACCGGCGAUACCCGAAUGGGGAAACCCAGUGUGACUCGUCACACUAUCAUUAACUGAAUCCAUAGGUUAAUGAGGCGAACCGGGGGAACUGAAACAUCUAAGUACCCCGAGGAAAAGAAAUCAACCGAGAUUCCCCCAGUAGCGGCGAGCGAACGGGGAGGAGCCCAGAGCCUGAAUCAGCAUGUGUGUUAGUGGAAGCGUCUGGAAAGACGCGCGAUACAGGGUGACAGCCCCGUACACAAAAGCGCAUGUGUUGUGAGCUCGAUGAGUAGGGCGGGACACGUGGUAUCCUGUCUGAAUAUGGGGGGACCAUCCUCCAAGGCUAAAUACUCCUGACUGACCGAUAGUGAACCAGUACCGUGAGGGAAAGGCGAAAAGAACCCCGGCGAGGGGAGUGAAAAAGAACCUGAAACCGUGUACGUACAAGCAGUGGGAGCACAGGUUUACCUGUGUGACUGCGUACCUUUUGUAUAAUGGGUCAGCGACUUAUAUUCUGUAGCAAGGUUAACCGAAUAGGGGAGCCGGAGGGAAACCGAGUCUUAAUUGGGCGUUAAGUUGCAGGGUAUAGACCCGAAACCCGGUGAUCUAGCCAUGGGCAGGUUGAAGGUUGGGUAACACUAACUGGAGGACCGAACCGACUAAUGUUGAAAAAUUAGCGGAUGACCUGUGGCUGGGGGUGAAAGGCCAAUCAAACCGGGAGAUAGCUGGUUCUCCCCGAAAGCUAUUUAGGUAGCGCCUCGUGAACUCAUCUCCGGGGGUAGAGCACUGUUUCGGCUAGGGGGCCAUCCCGGCUUACCAACCCGAUGCAAACUGCGAAUACCGGAGAAUGUUAUCACGGGAGACACACGGCGGGUGCUAACGUCCGUCGUGAAGAGGGAAACAACCCAGACCGCCAGCUAAGGUCCCAAAGUCAUGGUUAAGUGGGAAACGAUGUGGGAAGGCCCAGACAGCCAGGAUGUUGGCUUAGAAGCAGCCAUCAUUUAAAGAAAGCGUAAUAGCUCACUGGUCGAGUCGGCCUGCGCGGAAGAUGUAACGGGGCUAAACCAUGCACCGAAGCUGCGGCAGCGACACUCAGGUGUUGUUGGGUAGGGGAGCGUUCUGUAAGCCUGUGAAGGUGUGUCGUGAGGCAUGCUGGAGGUAUCAGAAGUGCGAAUGCUGACAUAAGUAAC
rnacentral:rRNA from 1 species